rnacentral:rRNA from 1 species
GACGGAGGAUGCAAGUGUUAUCCGGAAUCACUGGGCGUAAAGCGUCUGUAGGUGGUUUAAUAAGUCAACUGUUAAAUCUUGAGGCUCAACUUCAAAAUCGCAGUCGAAACUAUUAGGCUAGAGUAUAGUAGGGGUAAAGGGAAUUUCCAGUUGGAGCGGUGAAAUGCGUAGAGAUUGGAAAGAACACCGAUGGCGAAGGCACUUUACUGGGCCGACACUGACACUGAGAGACGAAAGCUAGGGGAGCGAAUGGG